rnacentral:rRNA from 1 species
AUUGAACGCUGGCGGCAGGCUUAACACAUGCAAGUCGAGCGGGGUGAUGGUGCUUGCACUAUCACUUAGCGGCGGACGGGUGAGUAAUGCUUAGGAAUCUGCCUAUUAGUGGGGGACAACAUCUCGAAAGGGAUGCUAAUACCGCAUACGUCCUACGGGAGAAAGCAGGGGAUCACUUGUGACCUUGCGCUAAUAGAUGAGCCUAAGUCGGAUUAGCUAGUUGGUGGAGUAAAGGCCUACCAAGGCGACGAUCUGUAGCGGGUCUGAGAGGAUGAUCCGCCACACUGGGACUGGGACACGGCCCAGACUCCUACGGGAGGCAGCAGUGGGGAAGAUUGGACAAUGGGGGGAACCCUGAUCUAGCCAUGCCGCGUGUGUGAAGAAGGCCUUAUGGUUGUAAAGCACUUUAAGCGAGGAGGAGGCUCUUUUGGUUAAUACCCAAGAUGAGUGGACGUUACUCGCAGAAUAAGCACCGGCUAACUCUGUGCCAGCCGCCGCGGUAA